rnacentral:rRNA from 1 species
GAUGAACGCUGGCGGCGUGCCUAAUACAUGCAAGUCGAGCGAACAGACGAGGAGCUUGCUCCUUUGACGUUAGCGGCGGACGGGUGAGUAACACGUAGGUAACCUACCUAUAAGACUGGGAUAACUUCGGGAAACCGGAGCUAAUACCGGAUAAUAUUUCGAACCGCAUGGUUCGAUAGUGAAAGAUGGCUUUGCUAUCACUUAUAGAUGGACCUGCGCCGUAUUAGCUAGUUGGUAAGGUAACGGCUUACCAAGGCAACGAUACGUAGCCGACCUGAGAGGGGGAUCGGCCCAACAGGAAACGGGAACCGGGCCCGAACCCCAAGGGGGGGCAGAAGGGGGAAUCCUCCCGCAUGGGGGAAAACCUUGCGGGGGCACCCCGGGGGGGGGAAGAAGGUCUUCGGGUCGGAAAACCCCUUUUUUUGGGAAAAAAAAAAGGUGAAGGAACUGGGCCCGUUUUGGAGGGUACCAAAUCAAAAAGCCCGGCCUAACUCGGG